AAUACGCGGAACGCGUUAGAACGUUUAUGUUUUUUUCACAAGCACAUUAAACAAAAUCAAUUUGAAAACGUUGAAGAAGAAAAAAUUUUUUUUUUUUGGUGAAAAAAAGGAUAAAGAAUUUAUUAUAAAAUAUUUGAAAAAAAAAGUCUAAACAAAGUGAUGAAAAUUUCUGCAAAAAAGUCCUUUAAACAGCUAGAAAUUUGAAUGAAAAAGAAACGCAGAAAAAAGAAGAAAAAAGUUUUAAAUUCCUAAGUUUUUAGCUAAAAUUUCUAGACAAAUCCAAAAACAAAAAAAAAAAAAUAUAUUUUUUUGUUGAAAACAAAAACACAGGAUUAAGAAGGUUUUUUUGCUAAAACUGAUUUUAAGUUGGAAUUUGCAGCCUCCUGUUUAGCCUGUUCAAAAAAAGGAUACAAAAAGUGAAAGGAUUUUUGUUGUUAUUGUUUAAAGCUUUGUUUGGUUAGAAAAAAAAAAUAGUAGAAAAAAUAAAUCUAAAAGAAUCUGCUGGGAUUCUAGUUCAAAAUCAAAGUGAAGAGUGUGAGUGUACGACUAACGUGUUAACGUGAGUGUGGACAUCGGUGUGUUGUCUUCGUUGUCGUCGGUAACGUUUAAUAUAGUUCGCAUGUGGUCUACUGGUCCAAGUUACAAUUUAUCUAUGAUUUUUGGUUAAAACAACUUCUAAAAAAAUAUUCUUCUUUUUUCCCCCAACUGCAGCAGUUAGUCUGAAAUUGUGUCUGAAAAAAAAGCUUUAGAAUUGUUAAGAUAAGUUCUGUUUUUGGUCUCUUCUUGUUCGUGAGUCUGUGUGUGUUUAAAAUUGUUGGUUAUUUUUGCUGCUGUUAACUGUUUAAGAAGAAAACAAACAAAUGAAAAAAAUAUUAAAAAAAUUAUUUUAAUUCUCUUCUACUGUUCAAUCAACUAGAAGUAAUCUAACUAUAAGAAUAGCAACAACAAAAGAAAGCAAAAAAGCCAGAAAACAUCCAAAUCAGUUCUAUCUCUCAACUUUACAAGGUUGUUAUACACACAAACACACUGUUUUUAACAGUUUAUUUGCAUUUUUUAUUGGAUAUUUUACGACUUAAUGAGGUUUAAAGGAAACG